GACAGAGGUGCCAAGCGUUAGGCGGAAUCACUGGGCUUAAAGCGUGUGUAGGCGGAGUGCUAAGUACCUUGUGAAAUCCCACGGCUCAACCGUGGAACUGCUGGGUAUACUGGUUCUCUUGAGCGACCCAGGGGCGAGCGGAACAAACGGUGGAGCGGUGAAAUGCGUAGAUAUCAGGAGGAACACCGAUGGCGAAGGCAGGUCUCUGGGCUGACACUGACGCUCAUGCACGAAAGCGUGGGGAGCAAACAGG
rnacentral:rRNA from 1 species